AUACCGUUAGCCGAAAAGGUAAAAGAGUAGGCA
rnacentral:ncRNA from 1 species